rnacentral:rRNA from 1 species
UACGUAGGUGGCAAGCGUUGUCCGGAAUUAUUGGGCGUAAAGAGCUUGUAGGCGGUUUGUCGCGUCUGCUGUGAAAAUCCGGGGCUCAACCCCGGACUUGCAGUGGGUACGGGCAGACUAGAGUGUGGUAGGGGAGACUGGAAUUCCUGGUGUAGCGGUGAAAUGCGCAGAUAUCAGGAGGAACACCGAUGGCGAAGGCAGGUCUCUGGGCAGUAACUGACGCUGAGGAGCGAAAGCGUGGGGAGCGAACAGG